UACGAAGGGUGCAAGCGUUACUCGGAAUUACUGGGCGUAAAGCGUGCGUAGGUGGUUCGUUAAGUCUGAUGUGAAAGCCCUGGGCUCAACCUGGGAAUGGCAUUGGAAACUGGCGACCUAGAGUGCGGUAGAGGGUAGUGGAAUUCCCGGUGUAGCAGUGAAAUGCGUAGAGAUCGGAAGGAACAUCAGUGGCGAAAGCGGCUUCCUGGACCAGAACUGACGAUCAGGCACGAAAGCGUGGGGAGCAAACAGG
rnacentral:rRNA from 1 species